CAGGGAAUAUUGCACAAUGGGCGAAAGCCUGAUGCAGCAACGCCGCGUGAGGGAUGAAGGUCUUCGGAUUGUAAACCUCUUUUUCGGGGGAAGAGAAGGGACGGUACCCCGAGAAUAAGCAACGGCUAACUACGUGCCAGCAGCCGCGGUAAUACGUAGGUUGCGAGCGUUAUUCGGAUUUACUGGGCGUAAAGCGCACCGAGGUGGCUUCUUAAGUUGGAUGUGAAAUCUCCCGGCUCAACUGGGAGGCGCCAUUCAAAACUGGGAGGCUUGAGACCAGCAGGGGAAAGUGGAAUUCCCGGUGUAGUGGUGGAAUGCGUAGAGAUCGGGAGGAACACCAGUGGCGAAAGCGACUUUCUGGGCUGCGUCUGACACUCUAGUGCGAAAGCGUGGGGAGCAAACAG
rnacentral:rRNA from 1 species